rnacentral:rRNA from 1 species
AUUGAACGCUGGCGGCAGGCCUAAUACAUGCAAGUCGAGCGAGCGGCGGACGGGUGAGUAAUGCCUGGGAAACUGCCUGAUGGAGGGGGAAAACUACGGGAAACGGUAGCUAAUACCGCAUACUAUUAUAUGUGCCCAGGUGGGACUAGCUAGUAGGUGGGGUAACGGCUUACCAAGGCUACGAUCCCUAGCUGGUCUGAGAGGAUGACCAGCCACACGGGAACUGAGACACGGUCCAGACUCCUACGGGAGGCAGCAGUGGGGAAUAUUGCGCAAUGGGCGCAAGCCUGAUGCAGCAAUGCCGCGUGUGUGAAGAAGGCCUUCGGGUUGUAAAACCCUUUCAGCAGGGAGGCGUUACCCACAGAGAAAGCACCGGCUAACUCCGUGCCAGCCGCCGCGGUAAUUC